CAAUAGCGUAUAUUAAAGUUGUUGCAGUUAAAAAGCUCGUAGUUGGAUUUCUGGUAGGAGUGACCGUUCCGAACUUGAUUGUUCGUGUAUUGUGUUUUCUCCAGCCAUCCUUGUGGAGAACUUUUCUUGCAUUAAUUUGUAGGGAUUGGGACCCGCAUCGUUUACUGUGAAAAAAUUAGAGUGUUUAAAGCAGGCAAUCGCUUGAAUACAUUAGCAUGGAAUAAUAAGAUAGGACUUUGGUACUAUUUUGUUGGUUUGCAUACCAAAUUAAUGAUCAACAGGAACAGUUUGAGGAUAUUCGUAUGAACAUGUCAGAGGUGAAAUUCUUGGAUUUUGAUCAGACGAACUACUGCGAAAGCAUUUAUCAAGGACGUUUUCAUUAA
rnacentral:rRNA from 1 species